CCUGGGUAGCUGAAACCGGGGAAAAUAAAUCCAAGGAGAAGGGAGAACUCUUGUAAAAUCGGGACCCUUGGAAAAAUGAGAAAGGCCCUUCGGUGUCCAUAAGGGAAAGCCCCUGACCUCCUGGUCAUUCUUUAAUGACCUCCUGGUCAUUCUUUUAGGUCAGGGAUUGGCAAACUUUGUAAAAGGGCCAGUGAGCAAAUAUUUUAGGCACUGUGGAAACAGGGUGUAUGUGAAGUUUUCAUAUUCUCUCUUCUCUUACUUCAGGACCUAAGGGUGUUCCAUAGGGUGGAGGCUCUAUCAGCAUGGGUCCCUGAGUACCUGUGUGGAGCAGGGUCACCUCCUCAAACAUACAACAUAAGCAAGAAGUUGAUCUUUUUCUUUUACGUGGAGAUUGGUUCAUUUGUGGGCCGUGUGGUCUCUGUUGCAAAUACUCAAUUCUGCUGUGGUUUGUUGGUUACCCUAGCAUAACUGGCCCAUCUUGACCGAAACAACCCAUGCUGGUCUAACUGUGGAGCUCCUGAUCUUCUUUUAGCCACCAAGCUAUGCCAUCUCUGCCGAGUGGCAGAGCUGGGAACGAAGACCCGAGUGCAAAAUAAUGUACGCGAUUGCCCUUCAGAAGUAAGGAAGCAAAGACGGACAUAAGAUAUCUAGGUAUCGUGGUGAAUCCCACCUGCCCGCAAGCAUUGGGCUUAACCAAAGUCAGUCAUGGCAAUUGAUGAUAAUUCCCCUUGGCAGGAUCUCAAGGGAUCUUUGUAAUACUUCACCAAAGAAGCAGGGCUAUCUUCUCUAAGAGGAGGGGAAAGAGGAAGGGAGAGCAAAUUAAAAUAUAGCAGGUGACUGGAACACAGACACACUCUCAGUCACUCAUUUGCUCAUCCAACUGUGUUUUGUUAAUGGCUGCUCUGGCCCUACAACAGCUGAGCUGAGGAUUUGCAACAGAGACCACAUGGCCUACAGUGCCUAAAAUAUUUGCUCACUGGCCCUUUUACAGACAAAGUUUGCCAAUCCCUGACCUAAAAGAAUGACCAGGGGGUCAUUAAAGAAUGACCAGGAGGUCAGGGGCUUUCCCUUAUGGACACCGAAGGGCCUUUCUCAUUUUUCCAAGGGUCCCGAUUUUACAAGAGUUCUCCCUUCUCCUUGGAUUUAUUUUCCCCGGUUUCAGCUCCCCAGGGUAAGCCGAGGUCUCAAAGCACGUGACCCUCCUUCUGCAUGUGGUCAGGAGGUCAGCGGUAGCCUUAAUGCUAUGUCGCAAUGCCUACGCCAUUCACCUCACUUUGUCUCGUCACACUGGCAUUUUAUCAACUCGCAUCACCACAAGAAGGGGUUUGGGGGAUGAAGGGCAACAGCAUCGCUCUGAUUUGGGGAAACGCAAAGGCACAGCCCUCAUGAACAAUUUAACAUCAGCUCUUGUAACUGGAAGAACAGUUAAAAAAUUAUAUAUUCACUAACUUCACAAUGAUGCGAUUCUGUGUUUUAUGUCAUCGAAUUAUUUGGCCCCAUGUAUCCCACAGUGUAGAGUUAUCCUGUGACAAUACCUACAGAUGACCGUCUCUCAGGGUUGCCCCAAGAAUCACGUGAGCAUCUAUGACUACUUCGAAAACUAUAAAAGCUUCUGGGAACGCUAGGUGUGUUCACUGAUGGAGGAAAAAUGUGAAAUGACAGCCAUCAGGGUGACAGAAAUAACCCUGGGACACAAAAGCCAGUGGCCAAGAGAUGAUGCAGGCAGACAUAACUGGUGGACAAACAAGACCAUAAUUACAUGUCCUCUCUAGACCUUACCUCCUGAAUAUGGUCUUUGGGAAAACUGUGAAGGAGACAUCUUUAGUCCAAAACCAAGAAAUGGAAACAAAAGCAAAGAAAGAAAGAAACAAACAAAAAAACCCCCAAACAACAACAAAAAAGACGGAAAAAUGGAAGGCGUCAAGGAGGUGAAGGUCUGGAAGCGAGGAGACAGAGCAACAGAUGGAUAGUAACUUCUCAGGUUUGCCUGAAGCACAGGCUUGAGUAGAGAGCUGGAAUUUGCAGGGAAAUCUGAGAUGCUCUGUGUGGCUGGCUGCUGACGUGUGACCCCAAAGGAGAUACUCGUGGAGAGCAGCGUAGAACUUGCUACCUGUGUGAAAGCUAUUGUCCUCACGGAAUCUGUCAUUUUGAUAAGAUGCAAUCUGUUGCCUGUGGUCAACUGGGGGUCAUGGUGGUCAACAGGACUGGCAGUUGGGAAUAGGAGGUGGGUGCAGUUAAGGGGCCCUCUGGGCCUAUCUCUGUUUCUCUUCAUGUUUGACAUCACAACCUCCAAACGUAAUGGCCUCUGCUUUUCUUUCGCUUUCCAAUUCUCGUAUGGGUUCCUUCUAGUCAACUCUAACGGAGAGGCAUAAGGAAAGGAGAUUCUAAGAGAUGUGGUUCCCAACCACAGAUGAAAGUGGUCCUGCCAACUUGCCAACAUACAUUCUAAGCACAUAUAAAAUUAAGACAUGUACCAUAUUGCCUCAUUGUUGGAUUUUUCUGCCUUGAGGCUCCGUCUGGAUCAAGAGGUAGACCGACUAAGACUAUGAGCCGAAUCCUUCCCACUGCCUGUUCUUGUAAAUAAAGUUUUAUUGGAACAAAGAUACACCCGUUCACUGUUCAUGGCUGCUUUCUCUCUAGCAUGGCAGAGUUGAGUAGUAGUGCCCAAGAGGAUAUGGCUACCAAGUCUAAAGCAUUUACUAAC